ACUCUUUGGCAGAACAUAUGCUAAAAUUUAAAUCAUUCAGAGAAGAUCAUCAUGGCUCCUGUGCAAAGAUGACAUGCAAAUUCAUGAGAAUUCCACAUUUUUC
ensembl:snRNA U6 U6 spliceosomal RNA